rnacentral:rRNA from 1 species
GCAGGGUUUGACCUCAUCGGGGUUAAUGCCUUGCUGAUUAUACUUCCCUGCCUUUUACGGACUUCUUGUUUACUUGGUGGGUUCGCCCACCACUGGGACAAACAUAAACCAUUUGUAAUUGGAAUCGGCGGCUGUAACAAAUUAAUAAUUACAACUUUCAACAACGGAUCUCUUGGUUCUGGCAUCGAUGAAAAACGCAACGAAAUGCGAUAAGUAGUGUGAAUUGCGCAAUUCAGUGAAUCAUCCAAUCUUUGAACGCACAUUGCGCCCUUUGGUAUUCCAAAGGGCAUGCCUGUUCGAGCGUCAUUUGUACCCUCAAGCUUUGCUUGGUGUUGGGCGUCUUGUCUCUAGCUUUGCUGGAGACUCGCCUUAAAGUAAUUGGCAGCCGGCCUACUGGUUUCGGAGCGCAGCACAAGUCGCACUCUCUAUCAGCAAAGGUCUAGCAUCCAUUAAGCCUUUUUUUCAACUUUUGACCUCGGAUCAGGUAGGGAUACCCGCUGAACUUAAGCAUAUCAAUAAGCGGAGG